UCAGUGAAGGCUUCAUGUGUUUCCCCCAUGGGUUCAUCUAGUGGAUUGAUAGUAGAAGCUACAACCAGCAGAGAUGGUUCCAGUGGAUGUUCUCAUGAAUGACGUGUGUUUUCUCUGCAGGUGAAGGACAAAGUGUGAGCUGAUGUGAAUCCAGCAGCAAUGGACCAGAGCGAAGCUCAGAGCCUCCAGCCCCUCAGACCUGACUCUGAGGACCAGAAUGAAUAUCCACUGGUGGACAAUGAAGCUGUUGUUACAGCAGAGAAGUUGGUUGCCGGCAUGAGGACUGAGUUUGUGGAAAGGGUUGUCGAUAGAAGUCCUUACACAGCUCCUGGAGGCUCUCGUAACAGACAGUGUCUUGACUGAUUUGGAGAAAGAAUCGAUAUCUGAGAAGAACUCAGUCAGAGCAGACAGGGUACGCCACUUCAUUGACACUGUGAAGAGAAAGGGAGAGGAAGCCUGCAGGAAGUUGAUCCGGCAUCUUCAGUCCAUAGAUCCUGCUCUUUCCCAUCACCUGGGUUUGCCCUUUGUUCAAACUGCUCAGAAAGGUGAGGCCUUUUUUUUUUUUAUUGUUUUUUUUUUGAUAUUUAAAUAAAUCCCAUUUGGUUGAACCUGUAACUGAGAAGAAGAUCUGACCAGAUGUGAGGACACGUUCAUGAGUAAAUGUAGAUCAUUCCAAGGUUCCAGUUAGUGUUUUUUGAUACUGUGCACAGUAAACUGCUCUACAACACAUCAGAUGGUCUGAUUAUCUAUUGUUGUGUCGUUCAGAUGCUCAUGAUGAGUGUCGACGUAAACUUAAAUCUGCUCUGAAGGAGAAGUUCCAGUCUGUGUUUGAGGGGAUUGCUAAAGCUGGAAAAUCAACUAACCUGAAUGAGAUCUACACAGAGCUCUACAUCACAGA